GUGGGGAAUUUUGGACAAUGGGCGCAAGCCUGAUCCAGCAAUGCCGCGUGCAGGAAGAAGGCCUUCGGGUUGUAAACUGCUUUUGUACGGAACGAAACGGUCCUGGUUAAUACCUGGGGCUAAUGACGGUACCGUAAGAAUAAGCACCGGCUAACUACGUGCCAGCAGCCGCGGUAAUACGUAGGGUGCGAGCGUUAAUCGGAAUUACUGGGCGUAAAGCGUGCGCAGGCGGUGCUGUAAGACAGGCGUGAAAUCCCCGGGCUCAACCUGGGAAUUGCGCUUGUGACUGCAGUGAUGGAGUACGGCAGAGGGGGAUGGAAUUCCGCGUGUAGCAGUGAAAUGCGUAGAUAUGCGGAGGAACACCGAUGGCGAAGGCAGUCCCCUGGGCCUGUACUGACGCUCAUGCACGAAAGCGUGGGGAGCAAACAGGAUUAGAUACCCUGGUAGUCC
rnacentral:rRNA from 1 species